UACGUAGGGUGCAAGCGUUAAUCGGAAUUACUGGGCGUAAAGCGUGCGCAGGCGGUUGUGCAAGGCAGAUGUGAAAUCCCCGGGCUCAACCUGGGAACUGCAUUUGUGACUGCACGGCUGGAGUGCGGCAGAGGGGGAUGGAAUUCCGCGUGUAGCAGUGAAAUGCGUAGAUAUGCGGAGGAACACCGAUGGCGAAGGCAAUCCCCGUGGGCCUGCACUGACGCUCAUGCACGAAAGCGUGGGGAGCAAACAGG
rnacentral:rRNA from 1 species